UACGUAGGUGACAAGCGUUGUCCGGAUUUACUGGGCGUAAAGAGCGCGCAGGCGGUCGUUCAAGUCGAGUGUGAAAGCCCCCGGCUCAACUGGGGAGGGUCACUCGAUACUGAUCGACUCGAAGGCAGGAGAGGGAAGUGGAAUUCCCGGUGUAGUGGUGAAAUGCGUAGAUAUCGAGAGGAACACCCGUGGCGAAGGCGGGUCUCUGGACAGUUCCUGACGCUGAGGCACGAAGGCCAGGGGAGCAAACGGG
rnacentral:rRNA from 1 species